rnacentral:tRNA from 1 species
UCCGACAUGGUAUAGUCGGUAGCACAUGCGGCUCUCACCCGCAAAACCCGGGUUCGAUUCCCGGUGUCGGAG